UACGGAACAGGCAAGCGUUGUUCGGAAUCACUGGGCUUAAAGCGCGUGUAGGCGGCUCGGCAAGUACCGUGUGAAAUCCCCCGUCUCAAUCGGGGCACUGCUUGGUAUACUGCCGGGCUUGAGGUAGGUAGGGGUGCCUGGAACUCUAGGUGGAGCGGUGAAAUGCGUAGAUAUCUAGAGGAACGCCUGUGGCGAAAGCGGGGCACUGGGCCUAUCCUGACGCUGAGGCGCGAAAGCGUGGGUAG
rnacentral:rRNA from 1 species